UACAGCUACAAAAGUCAUAAAUAUUAUUUAAAAAAUAUCAUCUACAAGGAGAGAAAAAAUGGAAAAUGAAGAAGAAGUACUUGAAAUUGAAGUUGAUGCAGAGGGUGAUGAAG